GGCCCUGGGGUCAAUAUUCCGCCUCACACUCCUUUGAUGCCAGCGUCAUCUGCUCAGGAGAAAAAAACCCCAGACUGGUGAACGGAAGCAGCCACUGUGCGGGGAGAGUAGAGCUGUACACCAUGGACAAUUGGGGGACAGUUUGUGGCGAGACGCUGAACAUGGAAAUGGCAGGAAAUAUUUGUAAAUAUUUGGGAUGUGGAUUUGCUGUGUCAGCCUCAGGUGACGCUCACUUUGGGGAAGGAUCGGGGCCUGUAGUUGGUCGGCCUGACUGCGGACACGGAAAAGACGGUGGCAUAUUGUGCUCAGCAAACCGGACCAGGGUGCAAACGAUAGGACUGGCUUUCGGGAUUGUCAGUGCUUUAGUGAUCACUGUGCUUAUAUUGGGAUUCUGUGUGUACA